ACAUAAGAAAGCCAAGAAAAAAGGCAAGACCACCUGUUUCAAACCAAAGCUGUUCACCCAACAAAGCCUCCUCAACAGCCAAUGCAGUGAAGUUAACAUCUAAGCAGGAGAGCAAACAACAGGCUGAUGAACUGCAUGAGUGGUCACCUGCUGAGCUCUCCUACCCCCUUGUGAUGCUGAUGAAGACCUGCGCUAUAGCUCUUCUGCAAUUCCUUCCACUUCCUAAAGCGGGUGAAUCACGUCUGACAUCAGCACCGCGCUGCUCGUUUCACUAAUAUUUAUUCAACAUGACGGAUUCAUCAUGUAAAUGGUUUGCUAUUUCCUCCCAAUCACUUUAUACAGCCUGCGUAGGUGAGUCACACCAACAGAUAACUAGCAGCACGGAGCACAAGCAGGGACAGAAAGCUGCUCCAGCAGCUGUGGAAACACCCAGCUGGAGGUAUUCAAAGUCCCCGCUGCAUGCUGAUGAAGAGACAUCAAAAAGAGAGGUCUCCCUGGAACCAUUUCUAAGCAGCCAUGAAGAGACACUUGCAUGGUCACACAUCUAAAGCGGAGGUCACCACGUAGGGUAGCAGCAGUCGCACACAGGAUGGUUUUACUCUUCCUGUUCUGUUCACGGAGCGGUUCGGGGACAGCAAUGAGCAGAGUUGCUGAACAACCAUCCUUCAGCACUUUUUAACUGAGAGGGGAUUUGACAAUGGGUAAGAAGGACUGAAGUCAUUUCUAAGGAUGCAAACAAUGCUGAAGACCACAAGACCACAGCACGGACGUCGGACGCAAGCCUCAAGCACAAAUUUUCCAUCGCUGUUUAAAAUGCUCUCCCUGUUGCUUUACAUUACUGCUCUAACCAGAACACGAGUUAUUUACUCGUGUUAUGUACCUCCGGGAGGAUCUUUGUUGUUUUUCUUUUGAAGUCGCUAACUGAACACCGUUCUGCACUGGAACAUAAAAUCUCUACAAAGACAGAAA